rnacentral:rRNA from 1 species
AGCUCCAAUAGCGUAUAUUAAAGUUGUUGCGGUUAAAAAGCUCGUAGUUGGAUUUCUGCUGAGGACGACCGGUCCGCCCUUCGGGUGAGUAUCUGGUUUGGCCUUGGCAUCUUCUUGGUGAACGUAUCUGCACUUGACUGUGUGGUGCGGUACCCAGGACUUUUACUUUGAGGAAAUUAGAGUGUUUCAAGCAGGCAUACGCCUUGAAUACAUUAGCAUGGAAUAAUAAGAUAGGACCUCGGUUCUAUUUUGUUGGUUUCUAGAGCUGAGGUAAUGAUUAAUAGGGAUAGUUGGGGGCAUUCGUAUUUAACUGUCAGAGAUGAAAUUCUUGGAUUUGUUAAAGACGGACUACUGCGAAAGCAUUUGCCAAGGAUGUUU